rnacentral:rRNA from 1 species
AGUGAACGCUGGCGGUAGGCCUAACACAUGCAAGUCGAACGGCAGCACAGUAAGAGCUUGCUCUUACGGGUGGCGAGUGGCGGACGGGUGAGGAAUACAUCGGAAUCUACUUUUUCGUGGGGGAUAACGUAGGGAAACUUACGCUAAUACCGCAUACGACCUACGGGUGAAAGCAGGGGAUCUUCGGACCUUGCGCGAUUGAUUGAGCCGAUGUCGGAUUAGCUAGUUGGCGGGGUAAAGGCCCACCAAGGCGACGAUCCGUAGCUGGUCUGAGAGGAUGAUCAGCCACACUGGAACUGAGACACGGUCCAGACUCCUACGGGAGGCAGCAGUGGGGAAUAUUGGACAAUGGGCGCAAGCCUGAUCCAGCCAUACCGCGUGGGUGAAGAAGGCCUUCGGGUUGUAAAGCCCUUUUGUUGGGAAAGAAAAGCAGCAGGUUAAUACCCCGCUGUUCUGACGGUACCCAAAGAAUAAGCACCGGCUACUUCGUG